GUGCUCCGUUCGGCAGCACAUACACUAAAAUUGAAGUGAUACGGAGAAGAUUAACCUGGCCUGAGCAAGGAUGACACGCAAAUUCGUGAAAUUUUUUUUAGAAUU